GACGAACGCUGGCGGCGUGCCUAAUACAUGCAAGUCGAGCGCAGGAAGCCGACGGAACCCUUCGGGGGGAAGUCGACGGAAUGAGCGGCGGACGGGUGAGUAACACGUAAAGAACCUGCCCUCAGGUCUGGGAUAACCACGAGAAAUCGGGGCUAAUACCGGAUGAGUCAUCGGACCGCAUGGUCCGAGGAUGAAAGGCGCUCCGGCGUCGCCUGGGGAUGGCUUUGCGGUGCAUUAGCUAGUUGGUGGGGUAAUGGCCCACCAAGGCGACGAUGCAUAGCCGACCUGAGAGGGUGAUCGGCCACACUGGGACUGAGACACGGCCCAGACUCCUACGGGAGGCAGCAGUAGGGAAUCUUCCACAAUGGACGAAAGUCUGAUGGAGCAACGCCGCGUGAACGAUGAAGGCCUUCGGGUCGUAAAGUUCUGUUGUAAGGGAAGAACAAGUGCCGCAGGCAAUGGCGGCACCUUGACGGUACCUUGCGAGAAAGCCACGGCUAACUACGUGCCAGCCGCCGCGGUAAUAC
rnacentral:rRNA from 1 species